ACCCGCUGAACUUAAGCAUAUCAAUAAGCGGAGGAAAAGAAACCAACAGGGAUUGCCCUAGUAACGGCGAGUGAAGCGGCAAGAGCCCAGAUUUGAAAUCUGGUCUAUCUAUAAUGGAUGGAUCCGAGUUGUAAUCUGCAGAGGGUGCCUCGGGGGCAGCGUCGUCCCUAAGUCCCUUGGAAUAGGGCGUCGCAGAGGGUGAGAGUCCCGUAGUGCGGUCGGCGUGCUGACCCCCAUUCGAGGCCCCUUCGACGAGUCGAGUUGUUUGGGAAUGCAGCUCAAAGCGGGAGGUAGAUUUCUUCUAAGGCUAAAUACUGGCCAGAGACCGAUAGCGCACAAGUAGAGUGAUCGAAAGAUGAAAAGCACUUUGGAAAGAGAGUCAAACAGCACGUGAAAUUGUUGAAAGGGAAGCGCUUACGGCCAGACUCGCCCGUUUACGCUCAGCCCGAUCCCUUUGGGGAUUAGGUCGUCUCGUAAAUGGGUAGGCCAGCGCCGGUUCCGACGGCCGCUGAAAGGUGACGGGAAGGUAAUCCUAUCUCUUGGGAUAGGGAGCUUAUAGCCCGUUACGGAGACGCGGCCUGUGGAGACCGAGGACCGACGUCGAUCGACGAAGGGCGCUGGCAUAAUGGCCGU
rnacentral:rRNA from 1 species